GAUGAACGCUGGCGGCGUGCCUAAUACAUGCAAGUCGAGCGAACAGACGAGGAGCUUGCUCCUCUGACGUUAGCGGCGGACGGGUGAGUAACACGUGGAUAACCUACCUAUAAGACUGGGAUAACUUCGGGAAACCGGAGCUAAUACCGGAUAAUAUAUUGAACCGCAUGGUUCAAUAGUGAAAGACGGUUUUGCUGUCACUUAUAGAUGGAUCCGCGCCGCAUUAGCUAGUUGGUAAGGUAACGGCUUACCAAGGCAACGAUGCGUAGCCGACCUGAGAGGGUGAACGGCCACACGGGAACUGAGACACGGUCCAGACUCCGACGGGAAGCAGCAGUAGGGAAUCUUCCGCAAUGGGCGAAAGCUUGACGGAGCAACGCCGCGUGAGUGAUGAAGGUCUUCGGAUCGUAAAACUCUGUUAUUAGGGAAGAACAAAUGUGUAAGUAACUAUGCACGUCUUGACGGUACCUAAUCAGAAAGCCACGGCUAACUACGUG
rnacentral:rRNA from 1 species